rnacentral:tRNA from 1 species
AAGGAUUUAAGUUAAAAAAACUAUUAACCUUCAAAGUUAAAAAUAGAGUAAUUCUAAGCCUUA